rnacentral:rRNA from 1 species
CAACUUUCAACAACGGAUCUCUUGGUUCUGGCAUCGAUGAAGAACGCAUCGAAAUGCGAUAAGUAGUGUGAAUUGCAGAAUUCAGUGAAUCAUCGAAUCUUUGAACGCACAUUGCGCCCCUUGGUAUUCCAUGGGGCAUGCCUGUUCUAGCGUCAUUU